UUCACGCUGUAUAGAACUGAAACAAGUCCUGUAACGAUCCUGGGUGAUUACAUUUAAUUUACACUAACGAUUCAUUUUAAUCAUAUUAAAAUGGUCGUGUUAUUUAUCAGGUCAAAUCAGAUACUGCAUAAGUACUGGGGAGACCUGGAAAAACGG